rnacentral:rRNA from 1 species
UUAAUGACUUGUUAAAUAAAUUUGAAAAUUUUAUAUUUAUGAAAAAUAAUUUGUAAUUUGCUCAUGUUAGUAAUUUUUAAUAAACACAACUUAUAAACUAUAGUUAAGAGUACUGUAAAGGAAAGCAAGAAAAUUUGAAGUAAAAAAUUUUAAAUAUUGUACCUUGUGUAUCAGGGAAAAUUUAUAUAAGUUAAUAAAAAUUAAAUAUCUCGAAAUAAAAUAUAGCUAAUUUUAUAAAAAAUUUUUUGUAGAAAAUAAAUUUUUAAUAUAAAAUUAAAGGUGAAACGCUAGUCGAGUUUUAUUAUAUCUAGUUUUUUAAAAAGUAAAUUUAAUUUAAUUUUUACGUUGAUAAGAUGUAAAAUUUAAGUGUAGGAGGGAUUAGCUUCUUAUAAUUAAAAUGUUAAAUAGUUUAAAAUAGUUUAAUUGGUGAAUUAAGCUUAAAAGUAGCUAUAUUUAUAAAGUGUUCUAGCUAAAUUAAAAUUGGAUAAUAUUUAUAUAAACUUUUUGGAGUAUUAAAAAAUUAAUUUAAAUAUAAAGAGUUAAGUUAUAAUGAUUUUAUUAGUAAAAGUUUUUUAUUAAAGCAAAGUAUUUAAAUAAUAAAUAUUGUUUAAAAUUGAUAGGACGGAAUAAAGGAACUCGGCAAAAAUAACUUCUUUGCCUGUUUAUCAAAAACAUGUCUGUUUGAAGUUAUAAAAAGUUUAACCUGCCCACUGAUUAAUAGUAUUAAAUGGCCGCGGUAUUUUGACCGUGCAAAGGUAGCAUAAUCGUUAGUUUUUUAAUUGGAAUCUUGUAUGAAUGGUUGGACAAAAGAAGAUCUGUCUUUGUAUUGCUUAUUGAAUUUUACUUUUAAGUGAAAAGGCUUAAAUGUAUUAAAGGGACGAUAAGACCCUAUAAAGCUUAAUAUUAAAUUUUAUAUAGUCAAAUUUUAAAUUAUAAAGAUUUUGUAAAUUGAAUUUAUUUUAUUGGGGCGAUAAGAGUAAAAUGAUUAUUAACUGCUUAACAUUAAGUACACUUAUAUGUGAUUAAAAUUUUAAAUGAUCCUAAUUAAAGAUUAAAAGUUUAAGUUACUUUAGGGAUAACAGCGUUAUUUUUCUUAAGAGUACUUAUCGAAAGAAAAGUUUGCGACCUCGAUGUUGAAUUAAAAUAUCUUUAUAAUUGCAGCAGUUAUAUAAGUAGGUCUGUUCGACCUUUAAAAUUUUACAUGAUUUGAGUUCAAACCGGCGUAAGCCAGGUUGGUUUCUAUCUUUUAAUAAAGAAAAAUUAUUUUAGUACGAAAGGAUUAAAUAAUUAAAAUUAUUUUAUAUAAUGAUU